rnacentral:rRNA from 1 species
AUUGAACGCUGGCGGCAGGCCUAACACAUGCAAGUCGAACGAGUGCCGGACGCGUGAGAAUUGUCUGUGAAACUGUCCGAUGUGGGGGGAUAACUCCAGUACACGCUAGCUAAUAUCGCAUACGACCGGAUGUGCGCAGAUGGGGUUAGCUGGUAGGUGAGGUAACGGCUCACCUAGGCGACGCUCCCUAGCUGGUCUGAGAGGAUGUCCAGCCACACUGGAACUGAGACACGGUCCAGACUCCUACGGGAGGCAGCAGUGGGGAAUAUUGCACAAUGGGCGAAAGCCUGAUGCAGCCAUGCCGCGUGUGUGAAGAAGGCCUUCGGGUUGUAAAGUACUUUCAGCGGGGAGGCGUUACCCGCAGAAGAAGCACCGGCUAACUCCGUGCCAGCAGCCGCGGUAAUAC